GCAAGUCGAACGUGAACGCUCUUCGGAUUGAGUAGAGUGGCGGACGGGUGAGUAACGCGUAGGAAUCUACCUAGUAGUGGGGGACAACUUGGUGAAAUCCAGGCUAAUACCGCAUACGCCCUAUGGGGGAAAGUGUGGGAUCUUCGGACCACGCGCUAUUGGAUGAGCCUGCGUAAGAUUAGCUAGUUGGUGGGGUAAAGGCCUACCAAGGCGACGAUCUUUAGCUGGUCUGAGAGGAUGAUC
rnacentral:rRNA from 1 species